UACGUAGGCAGCGAGCGUUGUUCGGAGUUACUGGGCGUAAAGGGUGUGUAGGCGGUUCUUUUAAGUUUGGUGUGAAAUCUCCCGGCUCAACUGGGAGGGUGCGCCGGAAACUGGAAUGCUUGAGCGUGGGAGAGGAAAGCGGAAUUCCUGGUGUAGCGGUGAAAUGCGUAGAUAUCAGGAGGAACACCUGCGGUGUAGACGGCUUUCUGGACCAUUGCUGACGCUGAGACACGAAAGCGUGGGUAGCAAACAGG
rnacentral:rRNA from 1 species